AGCAGUGAGGAAUUUUCCGCAAUGGGCGAAAGCCUGACGGAGCAAUGCCGCGUGGAGGACGAAGGCCUGUGGGUUGUAAACUCCUUUUCUCAGAAAAGAAUUUAUGACGGUAUCUGAGGAAUAAGCAUCGGCUAACUCCGUGCCAGCAGCCGCGGUAAUACGGAGGAUGCAAGCGUUAUCCGGAAUGAUUGGGCGUAAAGCGUCUGUAGGUGGGUUGUAAAGUCUUCUGUUAAAGAUCGGGGCUUAACCCAAUUUAAGCAGUGGAAACUUAUAACCUAGAGUACGGUAGGGGCAGAGGGAAUUCCCGGUGUAGCGGUGAAAUGCGUAGAUAUCGGGAAGAACACCGACGGCGAAAGCACUCUGCUGGGCCGAAACUGACACUGAGA
rnacentral:rRNA from 1 species